ensembl:lncRNA
AAUAUGGUAGGCAACAUGAGUGAUGGCUAGGCACUUCCUAUUAGUUGAGGAAACAAAUUCUGAAGGUGUGUAGGUACAUAGUAUUUGGAAUUUAAAUUUUUGCUGACCUUAUUACUUAUCAUUAGUUUAUUACUUAUUACUUUAUGAAAUUAAGUAGAAAAAAUCAGCCUAUAAUCCCAGCACUUGGGAAGGUGAAGCAGGAGGAUCACCCUGAGUUCAAGGUCAGUCUGAGCCACAUUGUGAGUUCAAGGCCAGCCUGGACUACAGAGUAAGACCCUAUCUCAGAAAAACAAAAGCAAAUAAAAAAUGUGAUUAGAUUGUGAGGGUUUAUAACCAACUUGCUAUUAGGAAGGGGGCCUGGUCAGAAGAGGAGGGUCACUGGGAGCAUGGCCUGGACUGGUUUGUCUCUCUCCUCCCUUUGCUCUCCGCUUCCUGUCAUGCCAGGAGCAGCUCUCCUCUGCCAUGCGGUCCUGACUUGGAGCUGGACUGUAGACUGAAAUGAGAGACCAGGAUCAGACAUCGUGGUGUUUGGCCCCUCUGGACACCGGUCUGUAGAAAGGAAAGGCCACCCUGACGGUAUUCCAGGGCUAGGCCACCCUGACAGUAUUCUGGGGCUCUGUGUAGGCCGGUCCCAGUCAGGCCCUAUCACCAAUCAACCGACCCGCAGGAGUUUAUCGGAAAAGACUCUAGAGUCUCUUCAAGCCUUACAGAUUCUUCAGAGUGAGAUCCAGGCUACAAUACAACAGGCUCGAGAAAAACCCUUUAUGACGUUCCAGCUCCACGGUUUCAAGCCAGGAGACCUGGUCCUGAUAUGCCGACAUCAGACAGCCUCGAGCUGCAUUGGAAGGGGCCAUAUCCUGUUAUUUUGGUAACCCCCCUCCGCAAAGUAGCGGGGGGGGGCACAGCUUGGAUUCAUCACACCCAGGUCAAGUCAGCUCCAGCAGAGAGCCCAGAGCCAGCACGAUGGAAGAUUCUAAGCACCCCAGGAGACUUAAAAGUUAAAAUUGGGAAAAGAGGACUAGUACUCCUGGUAUACAUUCUCUAUCAAUCAUGUCAGCUCGGGGGAACAAAUAACUUGUUUCUUCCCUGUUCAGAAACUUGGGAAUUAAGACUAACUUCUAGUGGAAAAAAUCCUGGCAAAAAUAGAGGACCCAACCAAUCUGAGAUCACCUUUACUGCUAGCUUAUGUCAUAUGGUUGAGGAGGCCUCAUAUUAUGGGAACAGGGGCUGUAUGGAAUCUGGGUGCUGUACUCUCACUAAAUGGGGACUCCAUCCUGUCCAAUAUUAUGUAUGUCCAGAAAAUGAAGACCCAUAUUGUGAUGGUAACGGCAAUGACUAUCAUUGUGCCCAAUGGGGAUGUUGGACUAUAGCUCCUUGGUCCAUUCAAAUUAUAGAUCCCUGGUUAAAAAUGUCUCCCACCACCGUAUUAUCAUGAUAAAAACCUGUGAUACUGGCAUAUGUUAUCUGAUUACCAUUACACCCCAAAGAUUGGAAGAUCCUGGGUGGGUAACUGGAAGGACAUGGGGAAUUAGAUUAUAUGUAUCUUGGGUCAGAAUUUACCAUCCAGCAAGGUUGCCAGUGGGUUGAGCGACCUAUGGGGCCCAGCAAGGACUUUGCUCUACCUAUCCCCAUAGCAAGGCCUAAGCCUGUGCCCUCACCUACUCAGAAACCAGAACCCCCCCACUCUUCCAACUAUAUUACAAGAUAAACCCCCCACCCCUGUACUGGAAAUGUUGAUGAGCAUCCAUUUACUCAACAAAUCCAGCCCUGAGGAGGCUAAAGAUUGUUGGCUCUGCCUCGACCCCAGGCCCCCAUAUGAUUUGGGGUUGGGGCUCGUGGCUAUGGCAGACUUGUCCCCAACAGGUUGUGAUUGGAGCCACCCUCAACUCACCCUGGGGGACAUCCAAGGAAAAGGAACAAAUUACAGUUUGGAUACAUCACCUUAUAGAGAUCUGUGUAAUGAUAGUUAUAAUAAUCACCCUGCCUCAGGCCCCUGUUACUACAAGGCUCCAGAAGAUGCUUGGUUUGCUUGCACCAAGGGCUUGACUAAAUGUAUUCCCAAAUCAGUCUUGGCUACCCAAUGUGCCACUUUAUUUUGUGUCACCGUGUAUGUUGUUCCACAAGUCUUGUAUUAUAAUGGAAAAGGGGGCCGCAAACAUCUGGGAUUAACCACUGAACACUAUAGAAGUAAAUGGCUGUUCCCGUUUUAGUGCCCAUUUUGGUAGGAUUAGGAAUAGCCGGGUCAGCUAUUGGAACUUCCUCCCUGAUCCUUCAGGACAAAUUUUAAAGCCCUAAGCCACCAAGCAGCCAGAGAUUUGGGUCACCUGGAAGACUCGAUCUCCAGAUUAGAGAACCAGGUUGAUUCCCUAGCUGAGAUGGUCCUGCAAAAUCGAAGGGGACUUGACCUCCUGUUCAUGAAACAGGGAGGGUUAUGUGUAGCCCUAGGAGAAACCUGUUGCUUCUAUGCUAAUCAGUCUGGUGUCAUUAGAGAUACCUUAGCUACGGUCAGAGAAAAUUUAAAGACUAAAUAUGCUCAACAAAAGGAUCAAAAUUGGUUUCAGAAUCUAUUUGACUGGUCCCCAUGGUUAACUACCCUACUUUCUGCUGUAGCAGGCCCCUUAGUUAUCUUACUUCUGCUUUUGCUUGUGGGACCUUGUAUUAUAAAUGCUCUGACUAAAUAAAUAUGUUAGACAGUGGGUCGAUGCAGUUAAACUGAUGGUAAUAAACUCCUGUG